UAUAAUGGAGGUCAUCAGGAAAACAGGUGGUGCAUGGUUGUCGUCAGCUCGUGUCGUGAGAUGUUAGGUUAAGUCCUAAAACGAGCGCAACCCUUGUCGUUAGUUGCCAGCAUGUAAUGAUGGGGACUUUAACGAGACUGCCAAUGAAAAAUUGGAGGAAGGUGGGGAUUACGUCAAAUCAUCAUGCCCCUUAUGAUCUGGGCUACAAACGUGAUACAAUGGUUGAUACAAAGAGUAGCUGAAACGCGAGUUCUUAGCCAAUCUCAAAAAAUCAAUCUCAGUUCGGAUUGAAGUCUGCAACUCGACUUCAUGAAGUUGGAAUCGCUAGUAAUCGCGAAUCAGCAUGUCGCGGUGAAUAC
rnacentral:rRNA from 1 species